CCUACGGGAGGCAGCAGUGAGGAAUAUUGGUCAAUGGACGAGAGUCUGAACCAGCCAAGUAGCGUGAAGGAUGACUGCCCUAUGGGUUGUAAACUUCUUUUAUAAGGGAAUAAAACGAGGCACGUGUGCCGUUUUGCAUGUACUUUAUGAAUAAGGAUCGGCUAAUUCCGUGCCAGCAGCCGCGGUAAUACGGAAGAUCCGAGCGUUAUCCGGAUUUAUUGGGUUUAAAGGGAGCGUAGGUGGGUUGUUAAGUCAGUGGUUAAAGUUUGCGGCUCAACCGUAAAAUUGCCAUUGAUACUGGGAGUCUUGAGUACAGUUGAGGUAGACGGAAUUCGUGGUGUAGCGGUGAAAUGCUUAGAUAUCACGAAGAACCCCGAUUGCGAAGGCAGCUUACCAGACUAUGACUGACAUUGAUGCUCGAAAGUGUGGGUAUCAAACAGGAUUAGAUACCCUUGUAGUC
rnacentral:rRNA from 1 species